rnacentral:rRNA from 1 species
UACGGAGGAUGCGAGCGUUAUCCGGAUUUAUUGGGUUUAAAGGGUGCGUAGGCGGAUCGUUAAGUCAGUGGUCAAAUUGAGGGGCUCAACCCCUUCCCGCCAUUGAAACUGGCGAUCUUGAGUGGAAGAGAAGUAUGCGGAAUGCGUGGUGUAGCGGUGAAAUGCAUAGAUAUCACGCAGAACCCCGAUUGCGAAGGCAGCAUGCCGGCGCCCUACUGACGCUGAGGCACGAAAGCGUGGGUAUCGAACAGG